AGCUCGACACCUACGAGAGGCAGCAGUGGGGAAUAUUGCACAAUGGGGGAAACCCUGAUGCAGCAACGCCGCGUGAAGGAAGACGGUUUUCGGAUUGUAAACUUCUGUUCUUAGUGAAGAUAGUGACGGUAGCUAAGGAGCAAGCCACGGCUAACUACGUGCCAGCAGCCGCGGUAAUCUGAGCGGGCUGGCAAGGC
rnacentral:rRNA from 1 species